rnacentral:tRNA from 7 species
UCGGGAUAGCUCAGCUGGUAGAGCAGAGG